CAGAGGGAGAAGCAGGCUCCCUGCAGGGAGCCCAGUGCGGGACUCGAUCCCAGGACCCUGGGAUCCCGCCCUGAGCCGAAGGCAGGUGCUCAAGGUCUGAGCCCCCCCGGGGGCCCCUCAGCCGCGGGUCUUAUAACCUGUUUGGAAGUGGAGGUGCUUUCUAACUGAGCAAAUACGCCUUGCUGAGUGGGACGGCCUUCAGGACCCAGCGUGACCACAGGGUUAGUCUUUGGGAUCCCUAUAAUCUCUCGAUCCCUGGACUUCCCGGGAACCAACCGGCGCACUUUGGGGUCAGAAACUUGGAAUAAUUCAAGUCCUAGCUCUACCACUAACCAGCCAGUGCUAGGUUGGCCGGAGGCACUUUCCUCCAGGAAGAUGCAUCAAACCUGACGCCGUCCUGCUGGGAGAUCGCGCUCGCCUGGCUCUUUACAGGUUCCACAUCCCAGCACUUGCAACCCAAAAUUGUAGGCCUAUAACGGAUUGUAGUAUGAAUACCUAUAAGCAACAGCCUUGCAUUUCUGAGGUUACCCUGGGGAUAGAUUGCAAUGAAAUGUCUGAGAGUUUAUUACAAGGAUUAGAGCUCCACAAAUUUUCCUCCACAGUGCAGUCAUCUUCCCAGUCACAUUUAAGAGGAAUAGAAGAGAGUUGAAAUCAUCUGGUCACUUUCACACAGCUCCUGAUGUUUGACUCCAAAUUAUGACCUUUCCUUAACAUCAUACUGCUUCUAAUAGAACACAAAGG